GCCGUCUGUCUGUCUCAAGCUAAGUUAGUUUGCAUUUUUCUUUUACUUUGUUUAGUACUUCCUUUAAAAUGGCAAAGUCCAGAGUGCACAUGUGUUCGGACUUGGAUGUGUAGGACCUCUGCAGACCUCUUCUGUGCUGAUCUGUGCAUAUUAGUGGAAAUGUAACUGGAACUGACUCUGAUGAUAAAAUCAAGGACCAUCAGCAAGAGCAUGCAGUAGGAAAUUUUGGUUCCAAAUGAAGACAUCAGCAUUUAGAAUUUCUGCUUUUUCUGAGAUGAGAAGAAUCCUAAGAGAAGCUCACACAAAAGGUCUACGUUGGAAACUGUACUAAAAGAGCAGAUAUUCGCAUGCUUUUGGCUUAUUCUGAGGAUGAUUUAAAA